AUAGAACCCUUGCUGCGGUUAAAAAGCUCGUAGUUGGAUUUGUGCCGGUGCCGUGGUCCACCCUAGCGGGCGGUACUGCGUGCACCGGCUUUGGGCCGGUCUCCGGGCGUCGUCCUUCACUGGGCGUCGUCCGUGGCUGGCUGGUUUACUUUGAGCAAAUCAGAGUGCUCAGCACAGGCGUCUCGCCGGAAUGUUCGUGCAUGGAAUAAUAGAACAGGAUCACGGUCCUCUUUUAUUGGUUUUGUGGACUGAGAUAAUGGUUAACAGAGACGAACGGGGGCAUUCGUAUUGCUGCGUGAGAGGUGAAAUUCUUGGACCGCAGCAGGACGGACUACAG
rnacentral:rRNA from 1 species